rnacentral:misc_RNA from 1 species
UCCGGCUUGUCACCGGCAGUUUCUUCAGAGUGCCCGGUAUUACCCGGUGGCAACUGAAGAUGAGGGUUGCGCUCGUUGCGGGACUUAACCCAACAUCUCACGACACGAGCUGACGACAGCCAUGCAGCACCUCGACUCCCGUCCCUUGCGGGAAAUCCCUGUUUCCAAGGAGGUUCGUGAGCCGUUCGAGCCCAGGUAAGGUUCUUCGCGUUGCGUCGAAUUGAACCACAUGCUCCACCGCUUGUGCGGGCCCCCGUCAAUUCCUUUGAGUUUCAGCCUUGCGACUGUACUCCCCAGGCGGCAUAUUUAACGCGUUAGCUCCGGCACAGAUCAACUGAAUGACCUACACCAAAUAUGCAUCGUUUAGGGCGUGGACUAC